UAUGCACGCCGAACAUUAUUGUUUAUUAUAAACUAUGUUACAUUAUACAACAGAAUCGUCCACUUAGAUAAAGAAAAACAAACACUAACUGAAUCUUAAAGUAUCAAUUUCCGUUUGUUUUGCAAUGUGAUGAAAAUAUCGCGUGAUCCCGGCCAUUUGCGUUCAUAUCAACUUAACAGAAGGGACUGUUUUUAUCACUGGACAUAUAAAUCAGUGUAUGCGCUUUUUUCAUUUGGAACUAGGUCUAAAUUCUUAAAGGUCAACGUACAAAAAUUACAUCACCUUGAUACAAAUCAAAAUGCAGAAAAUUGGCAUUAUGAUUCUUAUUAUCUGCCUGGUAUUGGCGGUUUGUAUUGAAGAAGCUACAGCCAUACGAACUGGGCACUCGCGGAAUUGCUGUGCUAGAAGACGCUGUGGAAGGGGGAAGGAAUGUGUGCAGAUUGGGAGAAGAUGCCGAUGCAGAAGUCAGAGUGUGUAUGCUAGUCUGGACAACGAGUUAAAUGCUGACGUUAUGACUGCUUAAUGUUUGCCCCAUUUUUUCACUUACUGGUAUAUUGAUCCGCAGAUUAUAUCACUUUGACCAGUGACUGCUGGUGAUACUCCACAAUGGACACAAGCAAUAUUGACAUACUAACUGUUCAUCAAAUAGUGAUAUUUUUCUGUCAGCUUGCUAUUUAGUGAUCACUUAGGCAAAUUACUGCUAUAAACACGAAGAUGAACAGGACAGAACAGAACAGAACAAAGUUUUAUUGAUUAUGUAUAUAUACGCUAAUAUUAAGUUUGAUAAAUUCUAACAUUCUGUUAGGUGUAGUGCGUGACAAUUACUGCUGGAGUAACUAAUAUUCUGACUUCAUCAUACUUUAAUUAACCAUAACUCAGUUACGUACCAUCAUGCGUCUGAUAACCAAGAACACUUUCAUUAAUCUUUAUGUCUGUGUAUAUUUUAGUUCACUAAAUAGUAUCAAAAAAUAUUCAAAACCCAUAGUUUUGCACUGUUUAACUACCAUGGUUUCAGCACGAUACAAAUAACGAAAUCAAAUCUUAACGUUCUGUAUCAGUAUUUUAUAUCAGAUUCUUUAAAGAUAAGGGACAAUUUUCUUCUACUCUUAACCUUUAGCCUGUGAUUCUGCCUUUGCGACCAGUGCAGACAUUAAGCCUGCACAUCCGUGCAUGCUGAUCAUGACCUGCACUGUUCGCUAUUCAGUCAGUAACUUUUCAGUAAAGACCCAUUCUAACAGUAAAUGGUAUUGCCCAAAUUAAAUGACAGACCAGUCCAUUUUAGAAAUUUAGUAGGCUAACAGUUAAAUGGUUCUAGUAAGAAUUAUCUUCUUUAUUUCAAAUAAUACUCUUUGAAAUUUUCUUAAAACGUUCACAAGCUUGUUAAAAUCGUCAUUAUUUUUUCUGAGUAUUUUAUUGACAUUUUUUGCAUUUUUUCAACAUUGCAAACUUUAUAAAUUCUGCUUAGAAAUAAACCUUUCUAUUACA